AGGACCAACUUGUAUGACAUGCCCUUUGGGUUAUUUGUUGGCGUGAACAAUCACUUCCAAAGCAUAAUACUUGCUGGAGUCCUUAUGCGUGAUGAGCAAGCGGAAAGCUUCCAGUGGGUUUUUUUUGAAUUCGUCAACAUAAUGGGCCGUAAACAUCCACAGACAAUAUUGACAGACUAAGCAAGGGCCAUGGAGGUAGUGAUAAAGAGUGAACUUCCUGGGACUGUGCAUAGAUGGUGCAAAUGGCAUAUACUCAAGAAAGCAAAGGAGAACCUUGACCCUCUGUACAUCAGCAAGAGCGAAUUCAGGGCUGAAUUCCACAAAGUGGUGAAUCACAUGAUAACUGUGGAAGAAUUUGAGAUGGCAUGGGGUAUACUAGUCGAGAAAUAUAAUCUGAAGAGCCACAAUUACAUGACAAAUCUAUACGAGAUACGUCGCUAGUGGGCGAAGCCAUACUUCAAAGGUGUAUUCUGCGCCAAAAUGACCAGCACGCAGCGGAGCGAGAGUGCAAACAAUAUGCUGAAAAUGUACAUGCCACCGUCAAGCCCGAUGCAUGUGUUCGUUCAUCAGUACAUGAGUCUUCAAUUUGACAGGGAAUCAGAUGAGAGCUACCAAGAAAAGAGGACAUGGAUUAGUGGAGCUGUGAUGAGGACAAACAUUGCUAUCGAGAGGCAUGCAAGUAAAAUGUAUACAAGGAGGAUGUUUGAACAAUUUGGUGAGCAUCUGUUUGAAGGGGGGUCGUACCAGGUCGAGGAAGUGGAAAAGAAAAGAAGCAUAUCGCAAGGCACUACAACGCCGAAAGACGAGAAAGGUGGAGUAAGGUGGAAUAUGAGGUGA
rnacentral:rRNA from 1 species